GCAAUGGGUUCGUGUUCACAGGAAUUCUGCUCUUCCUUUGCCUCCAGAGAAGCCUGAAAGGAGCCUCUGCCCUCACAGCGCCUCCGGAGCAGCAGCUGGAUGAGGAGGGCUGGGCAGAGAUCAGGAGGAAGCUCCGGGAAUUCACACUCAACACCCAGGAGGAGCUGGAGCAGCAGAGGAGCCAGCUGCUGACCCGGGCUGUGGUGGCAGAGGAGCAGGUGCUGGAGCUGCAGGGCUACAUCGACCAGCACCUUGCCAGGUGACAGGGGGGGACAGCCCCCUCCAGGCUUGUGCCAGUGCUGGCCCGUGCCCACUGCUGGCCCUGCCACAGCACUGCCCAUGUCCCACUGCUCCUGCAGCUGUGCAGGCAGCUGCCACCCUCUCUUGUGCCACAGGGCAGCAGGACAGACGCUCCCCACACACCACAGGUGUCCAUCCUGUGAGCUCGCCCAUCCUUGGGAGGAAUCACAGUCAUGGAAAGGGUUGGAAGUGACACAAAUGUUCAUCCAGUGCCACCCCUGCCAUGGCAGGGACACC